AUGAGAUCUCAACCCUCCCCCUAUAUCUCUAGCCAAUGUAGAAAAGUAAACGCAUAACAAUACGCACAUUAAAAUUCAGUUCAAGAGAAGUCCGAGUUUGAUGUCAGAAGAUGUAACCAAAGAAAAUAAACAAAAUGACAAUGAUACAUAAAUAACAACAGACUACUAGCAGUUAACUGACAUGCCAGCUCCAGUCUUCAAUUAAACUGAUUGAAAGAUAAUGUCUUCAUCAUAUGAAUAUCAGGC
rnacentral:lncRNA from 1 species